rnacentral:rRNA from 1 species
UACAGAGGUCUCAAGCGUUGUUCGGAUUCAUUGGGCGUAAAGGGUGCGUAGGCGGCGUGGUAAGUCGGGUGUGAAAUCUCGGAGCCUAACUCCGAAACUGCAUUCGAUACUGCCGUGCUUGAGGACUGGAGAGGAGACUGGAAUUUACGGUGUAGCGGUGAAAUGCGUAGAUAUCGUAAGGAAGACCAGUGGCGAAGGCGGGUCUCUGGACAGUUCCUGACGCUGAGGCACGAAGGCCAGGGGAGCAAACGGG